rnacentral:rRNA from 1 species
UAGCGUAGGGGGCAAGCGUUUGUCCGGAUUUAUUGGGCGUAAAGAGCGUGUAGGCGGUUUGGUAGGUCCGUUGUGAAAACUCGAGGCUCAACCUCGAGACGCCGAUGGAAACCAUCAGACUAGAGUCCGGAAGAGGAGAGGUGGAAUUCCUGGUGUAGCGGUGAAAUGCGCAGAUAUCAGGAGGAACACCGGUGGCGAAGGCGGGUCUCUGGGCAGUAACUGACGCUGAGGAGCGAAAGCGUGGGGAGCGAACAGG